rnacentral:lncRNA from 1 species
GGUGAUUACCGUUUAGGGGCUGUCUCUCCGGAGCCUGGUGCGUAUAUGCCAUAUGUGUUUACCUUUUCCACUAGCCUACUAACACGCGAUAAUGCCGCGGCAGCUUUCGAGAUGAACAUUUGACAAGCCAGCUCACCGCCGACUGACACCUCCAUUUCAGCUGGCCUGACAUAUAUAAAAAGAAACUGAGUGUUUAUCCCUUUGCGUUCCGGAUUUGACAUAUGUGCUAUAUGAGAGUUACAGAAGCAAACUUCAGAAAAGAAAUGAAAGCAUGUACUUGCUAGUUUAUUAAAGUUUACCUGCUCCACAUUGAACGGAGACACGUUCAGCUGGCCACUAUGGUACUCUGAAAACAUCUGCAAGCCACGUCAGAAGUAAUGACAAACAAACGGGUUCCUUUUGAGGUUGAUUUUCAACCAGCUGCAUUGAAUUAUAGCAGCACUAUCAAAGCAAGGUCCCCAUUAGCUGCUAAUUCAGAGAGACUUCAGAAGAAACUCCCGUCAACCUCCAACGAAUCUGCCCAACUCCAACAGCUCCCUACUCUCUGCCAGAGUUUAAGAAGAGGCCUGCAGAUGAGGAUCCAGUGGCAUUUGUAAAGGAAAGUUUGACUUAUCAAAAGGUAAAAUGGAAGUGGGAACGGACACCACUGCUCUCAAGACUGCUCUGCA